rnacentral:tRNA from 1 species
AGGUCUUCUAAACCUUUGGUAUAGGUUCAAAUCCUAUUGGACGUA